UCCGGGGUGGCGCAACAGGUAGCGCAACGGAUUGUUAAUCCGGAGAUUGCGGGUUCGAGCCCCGCCCCCGGAG
rnacentral:tRNA from 1 species